UGGGAAAUGCACGAGACUGAAAUUUUUUUUUUUUUUUGUACAAUAGCAGAGAACAAAAUAGAAAUGCUUGGGUCCACCUGGUCAGUUGUAACAGGCACUUUGUCCUGAGAAAAGUCCCGCUCUUUUGCAGGCUUAUCCUCGACGUAUCUUGGCUUAUACCUAAAUCUAAUGAAUGGACAUGGACAGCCUGCCCUGCUCUACUUGGUUCCCUGCACCUUAGGUGCUGCUGUUAUUUUGGGUGGGAUAAGAGGAGAACUAAAUGAUCUUUGGAACUUCAGAGAAAAACAUUCUCAUGCCAGUCCUGCUGGAGAUGUUUAAGCACUACUCUGCUGAAUCUCAUGACAGAUGCCCAUCAAGCUUCAUCAACAUACUGAUGCCAUCAUCUCAGCAGAAACUGCUAGAGAACCGCACUCCUUGCUACAGAUUAUUAGAUCUGACAGAGACGAGAAAGAGUCAGGAAGCUCGUUGCUCAAAAGAUGUAGCAAAGUUUGGGAACAACUUCUCCAUCCUAGAUAACAAGCUAAUCAUCAUCCAAUUGCUUCAUCUCUUUUUGCCAUCACAUGUGAUGUGGUUUUAAUCUUGUAAUUUCACAAUCGGAUUGGCAUUUGUGAUGUUCAUGUAGACAAUUUGUACCAUCAUUGUAUUUAUAAUAUCCAUCAGGUAACUUGUUGAAAGA